rnacentral:rRNA from 1 species
UACGGAGGAUGCGAGCGUUAUCCGGAUUUAUUGGGUUUAAAGGGUGCGUAGGCGGCGAGUUAAGUCAGCGGUAAAAGCCCGGGGCUCAACCCCGUCCGGCCGUUGAAACUGGGGGCCUUGAGUGGGCGAGAAGAAGGCGGAAUGCGUGGUGUAGCGGUGAAAUGCAUAGAUAUCACGCAGAACACCGAUUGCGAAGGCAGCUUACCAAGCUACUUCUGACGUUGAGGCACGAAAGCGUGGGGAGCAAACAGG